GUGCUCCCUACGUUUUAAGGUUAUAUGACGUUUUAACUUUGGUUAAAACCAAACUACUUCAAAUUUAACUUAGUUUAUAUACCAAAUUAGUUUUAUGAAAUCAAUAGCUGAAUAUAUUUUUAUAAUAAAUUUAUGUUGAGUUGAAAAUAUUAUUAUUGUUUUCUACAAACUUGAAUUAGUUUGAUUUUGACCAAAAUCAAAACAUCUGAUAACCUGAAACGGGUCGGUCCAC
rnacentral:pre_miRNA from 1 species